GCCUGGGUGGCUCAGUCGGUAGAGCAUCUGACUUUGGCUCAGGUCAUGAUCUCACGGUUUGUGGUUCAAGCCCCACAUCGGGCU
rnacentral:tRNA from 1 species